GUUACAAGUGGAUCUGAGCUGAAGAUGCAUUCAGAAAAGGGCUGGUCUAGUGGCUUCCUGUGUCCAGGAUGGAGCAACUUCCUUUACCAUUCUCUGGACGCCCAUGUGCUCCUGACCACAAUGAAGACCACCCCUGCCUUUCCCGCUCCCCAGAGGAGACCGGAGCUUCCUGUUUGUAUCAAUUAUACCAAACACCAGUCACAAGCAGCACGUAAAUCACCCCUCUCCUACUGGAAACCCCUCCGAGGCACCCAGCUAUCUCGCGGUCCAGUUUUUCAGCCUGGUCACCCUCCUCCCUUGUGGUGUCAAGGAAUACACGGACGCAAGAAAUGAGCAGUGACUGCCCCACACCUCCCCGUAGUUCCUGAGCACGACCGGUUUUUCUUGUGAAGUAUCUUACCUGCUUCUAAAUAAACGCCACCGCUCAUUUCCA